AGCCGAGCAAAAAUAAUAAAAAGGAAAAGCUGAAGCUGGAGCUCUGUGCACAAGCAGCAGCAGCGGCAAAUGUCAGUCAGCCAUUGAUUAUGAUCAUCAAAUUAUUGAGCGCCUAUGAGCAACAUUGGUUGGACUCGGACUCUUUACUGGGAUUGGGAUUGGGCACAAAACGCCCCCUUCCGCAACAAAAAAAAAUGUUUGCUGGCCAGGCUGUAACCGAGGUUGAGGUUGAGGCUGAGGAGGCUGUUGCUGCUGCUGUUGCUGCUGAUGAUGAAGACAAGAAGAAAACGUAAAACUGCUGACACAAUCGAAGCAAUUAAAUCGUAUGACGCGGCGGCAAUGCCAAUGCAAUCGAAGUCAAUCGAAGGCAAAGUCGAAGUCGAAGUCGAAGCCGAAGAGGGAGUCCCAAGUCCCAACUGAAAGUCGCAGCUCUCGAGGAGCGGAUCUCGACAGCGAUAAACGAUUUUGGUUGCGUCUUUACAACUUUAACAGGUUUCUAAUUCAAUUGUCGAGCUCGUUGGCGGACUCUUUGGCGCUAUGACUGGCCACAAAUGAGACGCUGAGGAAGGCGGAAAGGGCAACUAGACAGGGCAAGGGGUAAAAAAGUGAUUGGAGGUUUUUUUUUGUCCAUUUUGAAAGAUCGGAAAGAUCGUUGUUCCCGCUUUGCUCGCUCCAAUGGACCAUUUAUUUGAACAACACAGCAGAUCUGCAUGCCCGAUGCUCUUUUCAAGUUCCCGUAAAUAAUUUCACCAAUAAAAUUGAACUGAACUUCCGUUUCGAUUGCGGACAAGCGAUAAGAAUAUACCCACAAAAAAACAAAUCAGAUAUCCAGUCGAGGUCAUUCAUAAUUGUCCAUGCUCGAGUAUAAGCCACGAGUUUUGAUAAAUACAAAAUUAAAACAUUCAACCAUUGCCCAACUCUUGUCAAGCUCUUUAAUCUAUUUUAUGGAACUUACCCAGUUGUGAUUGGCUUAAAAAACAG